rnacentral:rRNA from 1 species
GAUGAACGCUGGCGGCGUGCCUAAUACAUGCAAGUCGAGCGAACAGACGCGGCGUUUGUUCCUUUGACGUUUGCGGCGCACGGGUGUGUCACACGUGGAUACCCUCCCUAUCAGUCUGGGAUCACUUCGGGAAACCGGAGCUUAUACCGGAUAAUCUAUUGCACCGCAUGGUUCAAUGGUGAGAGACGGUUUUGGUGUCUCUUAUAGCUGGAUACGCGCUGGAUUAGCUAGUUGGUAAGGUAACGGCUUAUCACGGGUACGAUGCGUAGCCGACCUGAGAGAGUGAUCGGCCACACGGGAGCGUGGACGCGGACCAGACGCCUACGAGAGGCAGCAGUAGGGAAUGUGCCGCAAUGGGCGAGAGCCUUACGGAGCGACGCCGCGCGAGUGAUGAAAGUCUUCGGAGCGUAAUACUCGGUUAUGAGGGAAAAACAAAUGUGUAAGGAACUAUGCACGUCUUGACGGUACCGAAUCAGAAAGCCACGGCUAACUACGUG